CUCCCUAUAUUUGGGGCUCAAUGAAAAACAGAAUAGCAAAUACUUGGUGGUGGAAAAACUUACGAACAACGUCGUGAGCAGAGCAUCAUUGUAGUUAUACUAUAUAAAAGGCUUGUC
rfam:Sediminicola sp. YIK13, complete genome.